rnacentral:rRNA from 1 species
CCUACGGGUGGCUGCAGUGGGGAAUAUUGGACAAUGGGGGCAACCCUGAUCCAGCCAUGCCGCGUGUGUGAAGAAGGCCCUCGGGUUGUAAAGCACUUUCAGGGAGGAAGAACGCCUGGUGGUUAAUACCCAUCAGGAAAGACAUCACUCACAGAAGAAGCACCGGCUAACUCCGUGCCAGCAGCCGCGGUAAUACGGAGGGUGCGAGCGUUAAUCGGAAUUACUGGGCGUAAAGCGCGCGUAGGUGGCUUGAUAAGCCGGUUGUGAAAGCCCCGGGCUCAACCUGGGAACGGCAUCCGGAACUGUCAAGCUAGAGUGCAGGAGAGGAAGGUAGAAUUCCCGGUGUAGCGGUGAAAUGCGUAGAGAUCGGGAGGAAUACCAGUGGCGAAGGCGGCCUUCUGGACUGACACUGACACUGAGGUGCGAAAGCGUGGGUAGCAAACAGGAUUAGAUACCCUUGUAGUC